ACCGCGAUCCGAUUUUUUCAAAUACCGCCCUACUUUGGAUCGCGAUUACUAAUCGCGAUCCGUUGUUUUGCAUAAAACACCCUACGUAUUAACAUAUAGGCCCUUCUUCCCGAUACGGCGGUUCCUCUCUCUCGUUCUCCCCUCCUCUCGCGGAUCCCCCGGCGCCGACGGCGGCCGCAGCAUCCGUCGAGCUCAUCGGCCACAUCCCCGUAGCAAACCCUAGCACUUUCCCUUCGGCCUUCCUGUCCAAAGGAGAUUCGCCUUACAGCAGCAUCCCUGGUAGUGGCUGCGUCGAAGCGGACGACUGCUGUGCGGAAGCAGAGGCGGCGAAGGAUGAGCCAGCAGCAUCUUCCGACCGCGAAGAGGGGCGGCGGCCGCCGGUUGAUUGGGUGGAGCAGCUGUUCAAGAUGUUCAGCCUGUGCGGGUCACCGCCGGACGACUACUGGCGGAAGAUGAAGCUGUCCCCGACGUUCAAGCCCCCCAAGGCGUAAAGGCCCACGACCUGCCGCCGGCGGCCUCCAGCCUGCUCGCCACGCUCCUCGCGCUCGACCCGACGACCCCGCCGCCCGCGGCACCGCUGGGCAGGACCUGCAGAGCAGCUUCUUCAGCACCCCGCUGCUGCCGUGCGACCUCUCGUCGCUCCGAGGAGGUCGCCGACGGUGCUGCUUCUCACGAUGGACGGAACUGAG